GUACAUGCCUACAACAUAGUGUUAAUGCACUAGAUCCCAAUAGAACUCCAUAGUUAAGCACACUCGAGCUAGAGUAGUACUGGGAUGGGUGACCACCUAUGGCAUUUUAUAAACUUAGAUU
rfam:Picea glauca, whole genome shotgun sequence.